GUCUUCAGCCAUUCUUCUAUCAUUUCAAUUUUCUUUCUCUCAAAUUUAGGUUUUUCGUUUUUGGAUUCCCUUUCGGCUUGGAAUAUAGAUUAUUGUCGAUAAUAUCGACAUCAAGCAAGUAAUGAGUCGAUUCAACUUUCCUUGAGAUUGGGCAUCAAGAUUAGGUUGGGAAAUUAGGGUUCUUGAUCUGAUAAGAGGGAAAUUAAUUCCUUUGAGGUGAAGGAAUUUUUCUCGGCCAUUGGUCAAUCCAAACAAAGUAGAGAAUUAGUUGGUGGAGGACAAAUUGGAAUGUGUGAGGAAUUUGGAGACCUUCUGAAGAGGAUACCACUUGAUUUACUGCAAGGAAACAAAUUUCGUGAAGCGGCAAUUGAUUACAUUAAGCCUCUUCUAGCCUUUAUAUCCAAGGGUUCCAUCUUUAUUUCAGACCUUUCUCCCUUGUACGGUCACCCUAGAAAGGCAGACAUAUUGGAACAACCUAUUUUUGAGUUGGAGCAUUCAAUUAGGACCGACGGCAGAUACCCUGAUCGGACAGUGAAAGAGCCCCUUCAACACUUUUAUGGAUUUUAUUCUUUUUGGCUUAGCAUUAUGACAGAAGAGGACAAUAUGACGUUGCUUUUCAAAAAUUAAUGAGGCCAUAGAGCACACACCAACUGUAAUUGAUAUAUACUCUGUCAAGAGUCGGAUACUGAAACAUGCUGGUGAUUUGGUAGCUGUGGCUUCAUUGACAGAUGAAGCUAGGUGUAUGGAUCUUGCAGAUCGCUAUAUAAACAGUGAAUCUGUGAAGCGAAUGUUGCAGGCUGAUCAGGUGGCUUUGGCAGGAAAAACUGCUGUUUUGUUCACGAAAGAUGGGGCCAGCACACCAACCUUCAUGACAUGCAGUGCAUGUGGUAUGAACUUGCUUCUGAUGAAAGUUACUUUCGACAUGGUGAUCUUGGACGAGCCCUGGAGAAAUUUAUAGCUGUGGAGAAGCACUAUGCUGAUAUUACUGAAGAUCAAUUUGAUUUCCAUUCUUAUUGUUUGCGGAAAAUGACACCUCGUUCAUAUAUUGGAAAGCUAAAAUUUAAAGAUUGGUUGCAUUCACUUGCUUAUUUUCACAAAGUAGCAGCUGGAGCCAUCAGGUAAACCCCAUAACGAAAGUCAUUGCACGGCAACAAAAAGUUCAACCCAACAAUGAAAAGCAGCUUGAGCAGCUUUAACAGGGACUGUGGCAAUUAACCUAUCAUGGGUUUCAGGCUCCUUCAACUGAUUUAGCUAUUUCAGAGCUGACACAUGCAUCUGCUGAAUCGUUUUUUCUUGCUUGGUGCAAUGACCAUUGUAGAGAUAGUUGAUGCCCCUCAAGGAUUUGAGCUGGUUAUUGACAAUAUAACCACUCUAAAGCCACGGACUCUGCUGUGGGUGGUGAGUUGAUUUCUUUCGGCUAUAGUCAUACUGACAAUUUUAUCAUUAAUGGUUCAUAUAUGAAUCUUGUUGAGAGUUCAAUUGCAUGGUGAAGCAUACCCUAUGGCCUAAUUUACCCACCGACCAUGAAAUUUGGCUGGUGGGUAUAAACCAAUGAUGUAGAUGAUUACAACUGAUAAGAUGGAUUCAGAAGAAUCUUAAAUGUUCGUACUUAUGUGUCAUGGCCAAAGUUAUUGACCUGCCGAAGAAAAUUGGAGAAAGGAUAAAAAAAAAUGCAAAAGUUAUGUUAAAGUAUUCAUUAGUUGCUUUUCAUGAUUCAAGUCCAAUCUCACCUCCUGGAAAUUAAAAAAAUAAGCUCUUAAAAUUUUUAAAUCUUGGCCCAUUCAUGUCCCAAACCAGUGCACUAGAAGAGCCUCUGUAGUUAAUUUUCAAUUAUAAGAUAGAGAUUUGAUGUUGCAACUUAAUCAAAAAAACCUUAAUUAUGUCUUACCUUGAAGAAUAAAGCAAACGAUGGCCUUUAGUAUUUGCCCUAAGCCUUAAUUGUAAAUAUUCUUGUUUGAUUAAAAUCUCUUUUAGCAUUUGCCAAUCAAUAGAUGUUAGUAUUUUGGAUUUUUUUGAUGGUAUAGGAUUUUUGUAAUUAUCAUUGAGAAACUACUUUUUUAGGAAGAUCAAUUAUCAUUUAAUGUUUUGCUCAUAGAAAUCUAUUAAUUUUUGCAUUAAUGAUACUAAAAUGGAGAGAGGUUAUCUAGGUGAGUACAAAUACCAAUAUUUUCAUCAUGUUUUUUUAUGGCAUUGGUUGUAAAGUAGUGGGAUAUUCACGGAACAAAUGUAAUUUUUUUAAUGAAUUUUUCUUUUUGGUUCCAAAGGAACUUAUCGAGGCUACUGCUUUGCUAUACCAUAUGUUGAAUGAUAUGCCACUUCAAAAGAAAGCUUACCUUUUUUCAUAUUGUAUUCUCUAAAACUCUAAAUAUGCGUCUUUUUCCGUCUUUCAUUAGAUGUGUGUUCUCAUUGAGUUUUUCUUAUGUUAUGUUAUGAUUAUUCAUUGAGAAAGUAAGUUAAUGUUGUCUUAAGGUUAGGGUUAAGUCUUUAACAAUAUAAGUCCUUCUAUUUAGAAAGUAAUGGAUAAUUAUCUUAGGGUUGUAUUGGGGUUAAUUUAUUUAGGAUAUAUUGGAGGUUUUGAGUUUAGGUUAAGGUUAAGGUUAUAAUACUUUAUUUGUGAGCUUGGGGUUGUUCAAUCAGUAAAAUGAGUUGGUAAUGAAUGUGGUUAGCUGUUGCUUUAUUCAUUUCUUAUUGCCUUACUUUUACUUUAUUUGCUAGCUGUCCUUGUCUUCAUUUUGUUUAUUUGCUGCAUUGGUUUUGAUCAGUUUUGGCUUGCCUUUUUUGUAGUUGUUGCAUGGCCUCCAAGUUCUUCUAUUUUUAUUUCUCAAAUAGCAUUGUUAUAGUUAUACUUGGGGGAAACACUAAAAUUUUCCUAUGGCAUGACAAUUGUGUUUAACUCAACUAGUAUGUAAUUGUUAUAUAACACGUUGAAUGGAAACAAUAAUAUCCCUAAGCAUCUCUAUAGAUGUCUUUUCUUGUUGAGAUUUUGUUUUUAUGUUCGGUUUUGGUCCACUAAGAUUAUUGGUUCCAUGACAAUUGCAUUUAACUUAAGUGGUAUGGACUUAUUAUAUCACAUCUUGCUGAUUUUAGAAUGGUAUGUGACUUUGAAUGAAGCUUCCUCUUGUUAUUUGGCUCUUUGAAAUGGAAACAUAAUAUUCCUAAGCAUUUUUGUAGAUAUCUUUUCUCAUUAAGAUUUUAUUAUAUCACAUUCUUCUUGUUUCAUUCUUUCAUUUUUUGUGUACAUGAGUUGAGUUUUGUAAUUUUGCUUUUGAAAAAAUCUUUGGAUUGUGGUUUCGUAAGUAUGAUUGUUAUUUGGUAGUCUCUAUGGAGCUCAAUGGAUUGUGUGCUUGCAAUUUUGCAAGAUGGGAAGAAUUAGAGAUUCAAAUUUGGAUAGCUGUGUGUUGUGCAUGUUAGGAGUUAGUUAUUUUUUGUUGGUUCAACUUUAUUGCUUGAUGGAUUAAUUUCUUAGGUUUAUUUUCUGAAACUAAGUUCCACCAAGCACAAAGGUUGAGUGUUAAAAGGAAGAUUCCUUGCCUCUUUUGUUAUUGGAGUUAGUUAUCAUCUUUGGCCAUUCAUAGUUGUCGUUUUUUUCUCAUUGAGGUUUUGUUAUGUCAUGUUUUGAUUCUUCUUGUGACACA